rnacentral:lncRNA from 1 species
UGAUGGCUUCCUGUGGUCAGGAGACUUCUGGCUGGAGGCUUGACCCCACUUUUCCUGAUGAAUGACCUUUAGAGGUGGCUCCAGGUUCUGCUGGUAGCUGGGAAAGUAGCUACUAAUUGUCCAUGCUUAGAUGCUAUUGACAGAAGGUGUAACAUCUCCCAGGACUUUGGAUUCUGAAAAGGAACUUGAUAAAAACUAAAUGUCUGAUAGCCCAGGGCCUGACACGUGGCCUGGCUCAGAGUGAACUCUUGAGAAACGUUAGUACACUGAAAAACAAUGAAAAAAAAAAAAGAAUGAAGAAAGAAGAGUCAAGGCAGAUCAACCAGGAUCGACGCAUCUGUGUCCCUCAAGUUAAUGACAUUUGAUAAACAACUUCUUUGUCUGUUCCUUCCCUUUGUCUGUAGCCCAGGAGACACAGUGACAGAAGGACAAUGCCUGGGCCUGAGCUGGGGGCUGCAUUCCAUUGCUGCCUCUUCCUGGCACAACCUAUAAUUGUUCU